rnacentral:rRNA from 1 species
GACGAACGCUGGCGGCGUGCUUAACACAUGCAAGUCGAACGAAGUGGCGAACGGGUGAGUAACGCGUAAUCAACCUGCCCUUCAGAGGGGGGCAACAGUUGGAAACGACUGCUAAUACCGCAUACGGAAGGAGGGGCUUGCGUCUGAGUAGCUAGUGGGGGGGGUAACGGCCCACCAAGGCGAGUAUCAGUAGCCGGUCUGAGGGGAUGAACGGCCAAAAUGGGACUGGGACACGGCCCAGACGCCGACGGGAGGCAGCAGUGGGGAAACUGCCGCAAUGGACGAAAGUCUGACGGAGCAACGCCGGGUGAGUGAGGACGGCCUUCGGGUUGUAAAGCUCUGUUAAUCGGGACGCGGUACCGGAAUAGAAAGCCACGGCUAACUACGUGCCAGCAGCCGCGGUAAUAC